rnacentral:lncRNA from 1 species
AUGGAGGCGCAGACGCAGCCGGUCUGCCGCAGAGGAUGCGGACUCCCGCUCUCCGCCGAGGACGCCGGCGCUCGGGGGCACCGCUGCGUGGACGCGCUGCGUGCGCUCAGCGACGCGCUGGAGGAGAGAAGCGCCACUUUGGAGCAUGACCUCCGCAUGUCCAGGCUGCGGUGGAACCGGAGGGAGCAGUCGCUCCUGACGAAGGUGUCGUCCCUGCAGAACGAGGCUCGGCUCGCGGCGCUGAGGCACCAGCGCAGGCUGCACCAGUACGUGCUGCGCGUCGGCGGCCUCGCGGAGCAGGUCGUGGGCUACUGCCAGGGCGACGCGAGGACGGCGGAGAGCGCGCGGAGCCGAAUAGCGGACGGAGCGACACGUGCGGAGGGAGACGCGCAGGAGCGGGUCGGAGCAGAGGCGAACCUGCACCCCACACCCGCAUCCGAGCGGCCGGAGGUGAAGCAUCAACAUCAAACGUCAUCCGGCCGCGCGUCUUUCAGCCCGACGGUCCGCGGCGGAAUUAGCGGCGUCCUGAGUCGUGUCCCUGCUUUUGAUGUGUUCCGGCUCAGAGCCCGCGGCUGCUGGAGGCGUCGUCUUCUGUGGCGAAUGAACGAGCGCGAUGAGCAGCAAAGACGGCCGGCGACGGAGGACUCUUUAUUUAUUUAUUUAUUUAUUUAUUUAUUUAUUUAUUUAUUUAUUUAUCUUUAUUUCGUAGGUUUACUCCCAGUCCAUAAUGAUCCAAGUGGUUUCACACAGGUUAGACUGGAUUACAGUCAUUACUGGAUUUGUUCACAGGCAAAGGUAAAUAAAUCAGUUCAUCCCAUUCCU